rnacentral:rRNA from 1 species
AGCAGCCGCGGUAAUUCCAGCUCCAAUAGCGUAUAUUAAAGUUGUUGCAGUUAAAAAGCUCGUAGUUGAAUUUCGGGAUCAAUACGUCGGUCGUGCUUCGGUACGUACUGGCGUCAUUGGUUUCUCCCCUCUGACGAACCAUGAUGUCAUUAACUUGGUGUCAUGGGAAAUCAGGACUGUUACUUUGAAAAAAUUAGAGUGUUUAAAGCAGGCUCACGCUUGAAUACAUUAGCAUGGAAUAAUGAAAUAGGACGUUCGAUCCUAUUUUGUUGGUUUCUAGGAUUGACGUAAUGAUUAAUAGGGAUAGUUGGGGGCAUUAGUAUUCAAUUGUCAGAGGUGAAAUUCUUGGAUUUAUUGAAGACUAACUACUGCGAAAGCAUUUGCCAAGG